CAGUCGCCGCGGUAAUACGAAGGUCCCGAGCGUUGUUCGGAAUCACUGGGCGUAAAGGGAGCGUAGGCGGCGUGGUACGUCAGAUGUGAAAUCCCGGGGCUCAACCCCGGAACUGCAUCCGAUACUGCCGUGCUAGAGGAUUGGAGAGGUAGCUGGAAUUCUUGGUGUAGCAGUGAAAUGCGUGGAGAUCAAGAGGAACACUCGUGGCGAAAGCGAGCUACUGGACAAUAUCUGACGCUGAGGCUCGAAGGCCAGGGUAGCGAAAGGGAUUAGAUACCCCUGUAGUCCCUGUCUCUUAUAC
rnacentral:rRNA from 1 species